CUCUUCAGGAGGAGAGGGAGGAGGCAAGAAGAUCUAAAGAUCAAGGUCUGCCUGGGAUGCAAUGGCCCACAGAAGAUUAUAUUAACUGUAUGAGGGAUCCAGAGAAAAGAUCAUCCUACCUGUGCCCUGGACUCAGACUCACUUCAACAAAUACUCCCAGCAUCUUGAAGGUUCCAGUGUUCUCAUGUGGACUUCCAGCUCAUGGUCUUCCUACACCAGCUGCCAAGGGGUUGUUACAACUACUUAAGACUUACAGGGAGAAAGAGUAGAACAGAGACUGAAGGAGAGGCCAUCCAGAGACUGUCCUACAAGGAGAUUCUUCUUUUAUACAGCCACCAAAUCCAGUCACUAUUGUUGAUGCCAAGAAGUGCUUGCUGUCUGGAGCAUGUUAUUUCUGUCUCCUGAGAGC
ensembl:lncRNA